AGCGAACGCUGGCGGCGUGCUUAACACAUGCAAGUCGAGUGCGCGGUUCGCAGCAAUACGAACUGGCGCACGGCGCACGGGUGAGGAACACGUGGGCAACAUGCCCUCCGAUGGGGAAUAACCCGCCGAAAGGCGGGCUAAUACCGCAUACGAUUCCGGGGACCUCGGUUCCUGGACUGAAAGCCCGCAAGGGCGUCGGUGGAGUGGCCCGCGGCCGAUUAGCUUGUGGCGGGGAACGCCCACCAAGGCAAUCGAUCGGUAGCCGGUCUGAGAGGAUGAUCGGCCACACUGGAACUGAGACACGGUCCAGACUCCUACGGGAGGCAGCAGUGGGGAAUCUUGCGCAAUGGGCGAAAGCCUGACGCAGCGACGCCGCGU
rnacentral:rRNA from 1 species